CAUAGGUGCCAAGAGUUGUGCACGGGACACUAGGCAACUCGCUCCAAGGCCAACCAUGUGCUUCCCCGCAGCGCCCUGAGCUUCACGCCUCGGACAGCGCCUGGUACACUUUCCCGCUCUUCCCGUCGGGAGGUGGUAUCCUCAGGGUACCCGGCCGCCCGUCCCAGGCCAAUCGAAUCGCACUCGGAGCCGAAAGAGGAGGGACGGAGUCAAGAAAGGGAUAUCCUUAUUGGAGCGUUCGAAAAGCCCUGGGCAGAGAGGCGGGGACGCCGCGGAUGGUGACCCCGCCCAUCCCGCGAUCACCAUAGUAACCGAGAGGUCACUGCUCGGAGUUGGUUCCAGCGCUCUAGCCUUGCGCUGUCCCUCAAGAGGUGACCAGAUCCAUGGAGCUCACCCUCGAUGGACCCUUCGGUUAGGUGGUUCUGAAAAGUCCUCUUGUUUCUUCGCCAAACUCACAAGUCACUAGAUCUAACCUACACUCCAGGGGAAGAGGAUGACUCAGAACAUGAUUAUCAGGAGAGUGUCCUCUGCAGGCAUUGUUUCCGUUUGUCCUCUAAGCAACAUGUUUCUUCCAUGCUGCCUUCUGGCUCCUGAAAGGAUCUCCCCCAGGAUACCACAUUACAUUUGAUAGUUAUAGUUUCCUUAAACUCCUCCUGACUGGGGCAGCUUCUCAGACCUUCUCUGCUUCUUGACGACCUUAACAGUUAGAGGAGUCCUGGUCAAGUCUUUUGCAGGAUGUCCCACAAGUGGGAUUUAUCAGGCAUCUUCCUCAUGAAAACUGGAGUUGUGAGUUUGGAGAAGGAAGACCCCAGAGGUAAACUGUCAUUUUCCUCGCAUCCUAGCAAGAGUGCACACUGGCAAUGGGACUUCUUCCUGCUUUUCAUUUUCUUUUUUGACCGAGUAGCAUGGCAUUCGGGAUCUUAGCUAUGCUUCCAGGGAUUGAACCCACGGCCCCUGCAGUGGAAGGGCAGAUUCUUAACCCCUGGAACAUCAGGAAAGUCUCACUUAUUACUAUGGAUAUUGUCCUUGAUCACCUGGC
ensembl:lncRNA